GACGAACGCUGGCGGCGUGCUUAACACAUGCAAGUCGAACGGAAAGGCCCUGCUUUUGUGGGGUGCUCGAGUGGCGAACGGGUGAGUAACACGUGAGUAACCUGCCCGUGACUUUGGGAUAACUUCAGGAAACUGGGGCUAAUACCGGAUAGAAGCUCCUGCUGAAUGGUGGGGGUUGGAAUGUUUCGGGGGUUGGGGAUGGACUUGCGGCUUAUCAGCUGGUUGGUGGGGUAGUGGCUUACCAAGGCUCUGCCGGGUAGGCGGCCUGAGAGGGUGGCCGGCGACAGUGGGACUGAGAUACGGCGCAGACUGCUACUGGAGGCAGCAGUGGGGAGUAUUGCACAGUGGGCGGGAGCCUGAUGCAGCGGCGCCGCGUGCGGGAUGACGGGCUUCGGGUUGUAAACCGCUGUGGCCUGUGACGAAGCGGGAGUGACGGUAAUGGGUAAAGAAGCACCGGCUAACUACGUG
rnacentral:rRNA from 1 species